rnacentral:rRNA from 1 species
UGGUAUUACGUCUAAAGGUAUUUCAUACAUGUUUGAAAUAUGCCUAAGGAUGGGGCUGCGGCCGAUCAGGCUGUUGGUGAGGUAAUGGCUCACCAAACCUUUGACCGGUACGGGCCAUGAGAGUGGUAGCCCGGAGAUGGACACUGAGACAAGGGUCCAGGCCCUAAGGGGCGCAGCAACCGCGAAACCUCCACAAUGCACUCACGUGCGAUGGGGCUAUCUCGAGUGCCACCUGAUGAAGGUGGCUUUUUCCUUGGUCUUCAAAGCCUUGGGAAUAAGAGGGGGGCAAGACUGGUGUCAGCCGCCGCGGUAACACCAGCCCCUCGAGUGGUGGGGAUGAUUAUUUGGCCUAAAGCGUCCGUAGCCGGCCGAGCAAGUCUUCCGUUAAAUCCAGCGUCUCAAGCGUUGGACCGCGGGAGAUACUACACGGCUAGAGAGUGGGAGAGGUCAGCGGUAUUCUGGGGGUAGGGGCGAAAUCCUUUGAUCCCCGGAGGACCACCAGUGGCGAAGGCUGCUGACUAGAACACGUCUGACGGUCAGGGACGAAAGCUGGGGUAGCGAACCGGAUUAGAUACCCGGGUAGUCCCAGCCGUAAACGAUGCAUGCUAGGUGUUGGGUUGGCCACGAGCCACCCCAGUGCCGCAGGGAAGCCGUUAAGCAUGCCGCCUGGGAAGUACGAUCGCAAGAUUGAAACUUAAAGGAAUUGGCGGGGGAGCACCACCAGGCGUGAAGCCUGCGGUUUAAUUGGAGUCAACGCCGGGAACCUUACCGGGAGCGACAGCAGAAUGAAGGCCAGAUUGAAGAUCUUGCCAGACGAGCUGAGAGGAGGUGCAUGGCCGUCGCCAGUUCGUGCCGUGAGGUGUUCUCUUAAGUGAGAUAACGAACGAGACCCGUGCCACAUGUUGCCACCAGUAUCUAAAGGAUAGCUGAGCACUCUUGUGGGACCGCAGCCGAUAAGGCUGAGGAAGGUACGGGCAACGGCAGGUCAGUAUGCCCCGAAUCUCCCGGGCCACACGCGGGCUGCAAUGGUACAGACAGAGGGCUGCCACCCCGAAAGGGGGAGCCAAUCCCUAAACUGUACCUCAGUUGGGAUCGAGGGUUGCAACCCACCCUCGUGAACAUGGAAUGCCUAGUAACCGCCAGUCAUCAUCUGGCGGUGAAUACGUCCCUGCUCCUUGCACACACUGCCCGUCGAACCACCCGAAUGAGGUUUGUGUGAGGAAUGGUCGAAUGUUGGCCGUUUCGAACCUGGGCCUCGUAAGGAGGGUUAAGUCGUAACAAGGUG